CUUUAGAUAAUUAUUAAAGGUUUAACCUGCCCACUGAAGUAUUUUAAAUGGCCGCAGUAAAUUGACUGUGCAAAGGUAGCAUAAUCAAUAGUUUUUUAAUUAAAAGCUUGUAUGAAUGGUUGGACGAAAUAAAAUCUGUCUUUAAUUUAUAAAUAGAAUUUAAUAUUUAAGUUAAAAAGCUUAAAUUUUAUUAAAAGACGAGAAGACCCUAUAGAUCUUUAUAAUAAUUAAUUUGUUUUUAUUAAGGAAAUAAUUUUUAUUUCAAUUUAAUUAUUAUUUUAUUGGGGUAAUAGGAAGAUUAUAUAAAUUCUUCUUUUUUAUAGAUAAUUAUCUUUGAUUUGAUGAUCCAUUAUUAAUGAUUAAAAGAUUAAGUUACCUUAGGGAUAACAGCGUAAUUUUUUUUGAGAGUUCAUAUCGAUAAAAAAGUUUGCGACCUCGAUGUUGGAUUAAAAAUUAUUCUAGGUGUAGUAGUUUAGAGUUUUGGUCUGUUCGACCAUUAAAUUUUUACA
rnacentral:rRNA from 1 species